GAUCCUGGCUCAGGAUGAACGCUGGCGGCAUGCCUAAUACAUGCAAGUCGAACGGAGUGAAGUCUUCGGGUUUCAUUCAGUGGCGAACGGGUGAGUAAUACGCAGGGAACCUGGCCAUGGCAGGGGGAUACACUCUGGAAACGGAGCAUAAGACCCCAUAGGCAGUAAGGCGGCAUCGCCUUGCUGUUAAAGAAAGCUGAAAGGCUUUGGCGAUGGAUGGACCUGCGGUGCAUUAGCUUGUUGGUGAGGCAACGGCUUACCAAGGCGAUGAUGCAUAGCCGGCCUGAGAGGGCGGACGGCCACACUGGGACUGAGACACGGCCCAGACUCCUGCGGGAGGCAGCAGUAGGGAAUUUUCGUCAAUGGGCGCAAGCCUGAACGAGCAAUGCCGCGUGAGUGAGGAAGGUCUUCGGACUGUAAAGCUCUGUUGCCGGGGAAAAAGGGGAAAUGCAGGAAAUGGCAUUUCAUGGAUGGUACCCGGCCAGAAAGCCACGGCUAACUACGUGCCAGCAGCCGCGGUAAUACGUAGGUGGCGAGCGUUAUCCGGAAUGAUUGGGCGUAAAGGGUGCGCAGGCGGUCUGUUAAGUCUGAAGGCAAAGGGAUGAGCUCAACUCAUUUAUGAUUCAGAAACUAGCAGACUUGAGGACAGGAGAGGGCGGUGGAACUCCAUGUGUAGCGGUAAAAUGCGCAGAGAUAUGGAAGAACACCAGUGGCGAAGGCGACCGCCUGGCCUGUGACUGACGCUGAGGCACGAAAGCGUGGGGAGCAAAUAGGAUUAGAUACCCUAGUAGUCCACGCCGUAAACGAUGAGGAGCAGGUGUUGGGAGUGAAAUCUCAGUGCCGAAGCCAACGCAGUGACUCCUCCGCCUGGGGAGUAUGCACGCAAGUGUGAAACUCAAAGGAAUUGACGGGGGCCCGCACAAGCGGUGGAGUAUGUGGUUUAAUUCGAAGCAACGCGAAGAACCUUACCAGGUUUUGACAUCGGAUGCGAAGGCGCAGAGAUGCGCUGGAGGCUAUCAUCCAGACAGGUGGUGCAUGGUUGUCGUCAGCUCGUGUCGUGAGAUGUUCAGUUAAGUCUGGCAACGAGCGCAACCCCCGUGGUAUGUUACUAACGCAUUUGGGCGAGGACUCAUAUCAGACUGCCGGUGACAAACCGGAGGAAGGCGGGGAUGACGUCAAAUCAUCAUGCCCCUUAUGACCUGGGCUACACACGUACUACAAUGGCGUCUACAGAGGGAAGCGACCCUGAGAAGGGAAGCGAAACCGGAAAAGGGCGUCCCAGUUCGGAUUGAAGUCUGCAACCCGACUUCAUGAAGAUGGAAUCGCUAGUAAUCGCGGAUCAGCAUGCCGCGGUGAAUACGUUCCCGGGCCUUGUACACACCGCCCGUCAAACCAUGGAAGCCGGCAACGCCCGAAGCCGGUGGCAUAACCUUUUAGGACUGACCCGUCGAAGGCGGGGCCGAUGACUGGGGUUAAGUCGUAACAAGGUACCC
rnacentral:rRNA from 1 species